rnacentral:lncRNA from 1 species
AUGAGAAUGGCGGUACAGGGUAAUCUGGUCAUUUGCGACACACACACACAGAAAGAAAGGGGCCAUGUUGUGUGCACUCUAAUCCCCUUUGACAGCAGAAUGGUACGGUCCCAUAAUCCUCUGGCUGUUGCCGUGGUAGCGUUGAGAGGGUUUUGGAUGGUAGGUACGACUUCAGCCCAAAGCGAACCAAAGAUUCCCGCAGCCAUCCCAAACGUGGACACUUUGCUUUCCAUCGGCUCACAGGACAGGGGUUGCGUUUGAAACCCCGCCCACAGUAGUAGAUGAGGCCCCUGUUAAGGGGGAGGAGACUCCUGCAGAGGGGGAGGAGUCAGAGACUCAAGUGAAGCCCGAACAGGUCACAGGCUCCACCCACCAGGAAGAGCAGACCACAGAAGAGCGUCUUCAGUUGCUGGUAAGAGUCACAUGAUCACAGAUAUAUGUGUGUGUGUGUGUGUGUGUGUGUGUAGUGUGUGUGUGUGUGUGUCACACUGACACCAAAUGCUCUUUUAUAUGCACAUAUUUUGCACUUUAAGUAACAAACCACCCUAAAAAAUCCAAAAUACCUGAAUUCAUGGGAGCCUGUGACAAAUAUAUGAAAGAAAUGGGUCCGUUACAAAUAAAUAUGCACCGUCAUGGAAAACCUGGAAAUAUCAGGAAGUUUGAAAACUCUGGAAAAGUUUUGGGAGUCUUCGAAAAUCCUUAUGGAUGUAGAAUUUUUCUAGUUUUGUUCAGCUGUGAAAUAUUCAGUUUUAUAUUUUAGAAAUUGCUAUUUUUUCUGAUUUUUUUUUUAUUCGUCUUUCAAACUUGCAGUCUUUACUAUUUAAAUUAUUAUUAUUAUUAUUUAUUGUUUAUUACAUUAUUAUAUUUAUUAUUAUUUGUUACAAAUGUAUUUAUCAAAUAUGUUCAUUCUUGUUUAUUUUUGCCACUGUGACAUUGCUUAUGUUGGAUAACAGCGUUUGCUGGAUGAAA